rnacentral:rRNA from 1 species
UACGUAGGUGGCAAGCGUUGUCCGGAAUUAUUGGGCGUAAAGCGCGCGCAGGCGGUCCUUUAAGUCUGAUGUGAAAGCCCACGGCUCAACCGUGGAGGGUCAUUGGAAACUGGGGGACUUGAGUGCAGGAGAGAAGAGUGGAAUUCCACGUGUAGCGGUGAAAUGCGUAGAGAUGUGGAGGAACACCAGUGGCGAAGGCGACUCACUGGCCCGGUACUGACGCUGAGGCGCGAAAGCGUGGGGAGCAAACAGG